CUACGGGGGGUGCAAGCGUUAUUCGGAUUUAUUGGGCGUAAAGGGCGCGUAGGCGGCUUGGAAAGUCAGAUGUGAAAGCCCGGGGCUCAACCCCGGAAGUGCAUUUGAAACUAUCAGGCUUGAGUAUGGGAGAGGGAAGUGGAAUUCCUGGUGUAGAGGUGAAAUUCGUAGAUAUCAGGAGGAACACCGGUGGCGAAGGCGACUUCCUGGACCAAUACUGACGCUGAGGCGCGAAGGCGUGGGGAGCAAACAGGAUUAGAAACCCGUGUAGUCC
rnacentral:rRNA from 1 species